UACGUAGGGGGCGAGCGUUGUCCGGAAUUAUUGGGCGUAAAGAGCUCGUAGGCGGUCUGUCGCGUCUGCUGUGAAAACUCGGGGCUUAACCCCGGGCCUGCAGUGGGUACGGGCAGACUAGAGUGCGGUAGGGGGGACUGGAAUUCCUGGUGUAGCGGUGAAAUGCGCAGAUAUCAGGAGGAACACCGGUGGCGAAGGCGGGUCUCUGGGCCGAUAUUGACGCUGAGGAGCGAAAGCGUGGGGAGCGAACAGG
rnacentral:rRNA from 1 species